rnacentral:rRNA from 1 species
AGUGAACGCUGGCGGUAGGCCUAACACAUGCAAGUCGAACGGCAGCACAGUAAGAGCUUGCUCUUACGGGUGGCGAGUGGCGGACGGGUGAGGAAUACAUCGGAAUCUACUUUUUCGUGGGGGAUAACGUAGGGAAACUUACGCUAAUACCGCAUACGACCUACGGGUGAAAGCAGGGGAUCUUCGGACCUUGCGCGAUUGAAUGAGCCGAUGUCGGAUUAGCUAGUUGGCGGGGUAAAGGCCCACCAAGGCGACGAUCCGUAGCUGGUCUGAGAGGAUGAUCAGCCACACUGGAACUGAGACACGGUCCAGACUCCUACGGGAGGCAGCAGUGGGGAAUAUUGGACAAUGGGCGCAAGCCUGAUCCAGCCAUACUGCGUGGGUGAAGAAGGCCUUCGGGUUGUAAAGCCCUUUUGUUGGGAAAGAAAAGCAGCAGGUUAAUACCCCGCUGUUCUGACGGUACCCAAAGAAUAAGCACCGGCUAACCUCGUG